AGUAUUUCCAGCUUUAUUCUCCUGCAUCUUAUCUACACCCUUUAAAGAAAUGGGGGUAAUGGAGGCUAGUCUAGCCAGAUAGCAGAGGUUGAAAACAGGUAGCUUUUUAGCUCAAUACAACCCAUAGAGAUGUCUCAACUGCAAAAUGUCAGCCCACACAAUAUGUUCCAAAAACCUUAUCAACAUUUUCAAAACUAAAUACUUUAAUACAUCACAUCUUUUUUAUUUCUAGUAUCUGUUGAAAAAUCAGAAGAUUCAGCAAUACUAGGCGCACCACCCCUGAUGAAAAAAUCCUCCUGGAUCCAGGAUGAAGCAAACUGCUUCACGAGAAGCCCUAGAGAAGAACACACAGGCUCUCACAUUGAGGAACGCAGCCAGCUGUUCAGCAUCUCCACGAAGACCAACCGGGAGGAAGCCAGUUCAAACUGCAGCAUUAGGGAUUUAGAACACUAGAAAGAAUUUCCUGGCUUUGAGAAAUGUUAAACAUCAGGAAAAGUUGCCCAUAGGGGUUGAAGAAUCUCCCUCUCCUGGGGUAUUUAAAAAUAGAUGUUCUUAGCUGUCUUGAAUGAUUUAAAGUUCUUACCUAACACUUGGGGGAGGGGAUGGAGGAGAUACAACCAGAUAAUCUCAUUCUGAGUAUCUUUUGGUUUUAAGAACUAAGAAGGUAUUUUCACAAAAACGUUUAAGACAUUGAAGUUAGACUUACAUUCUCCUUUGACUCUCCUUUGUCAAUUUAAUGUAACUGUAUGAAGCAGCAUUAAAAAAGGAGGAAACACCAGGAUUUAAGGCAAAAAAAAAUCUCAUUUAUAGUUCCAUCUUUUUAAGUUAUCUGUUCCUGAGAAGAUAAAGACCUCAACCUCAGUUUCCUCACCCAUAAAUGGGAGACCAAACUACCUGUGUUACUGACCUCACAGUUACUAUGAGUAUCGAAAUAAACACGAACAUGCUUUUAACAGUGUAAACGAUUAUAUAAGUGCAAAACAUCAUCACGGGGAGGUAUUUUUACAUAAACCCCUCAAUAUUUCUCUGUUUAUUUCAUUUCUGUAGGAGCUAAGAGUCAGGCAUGCCAAAAAGUUCCUGAACUCUCAGGGUACAGCUAUGCUCUCCGAAUCUCAAACACAGUGUCAAGAAGGAAGUGGAGA
rnacentral:lncRNA from 1 species